rnacentral:tRNA from 1 species
GGAGACGUCGCAUAGUGGUCUAGUGCGCUCGCUUGGAAAGCGAGUAGGGUGAAAGCUCUCGAGGGUUCGAAUCCCUCCGUCUCCGCAA